GAUGAUUUCCAGCUGUGUUGGCACUGCUCCCUGAACCCACUGAAUCACCACUCCUCUGCAGCUGACCAACAGACUACACCCUGCUGCACUAAUAUAGCCACAUAUAAAAAAUAUUGGAGAGCUCAAAUGCAAACUUCUGUCGAUUUUAAAGACAUCCCUGCAAGCACUAGCCCACAUAGAGAUGAGGAUAACUACCAAUGGAGAGGUCAUCAAUGCAACCAUCAUCAAACUUCUUGAAGAGUUUUUUAGCAACCAGAUCCUGAAUGGAACAGCCCACAGUCUCUCUGUGACACGCAUUCAACGAUUGAGAGCUGGCCCAUAAAAGCUCAGUAUGGACAGAAGUCAAAAAUGACUGAAUGAAGACAACAAUUCAAGGAUGUGUUUGUUUUAACAUAAUGUGAAGCAGUAGUAUGCCUCAGCUGUUUUAUCAUAUUUUGAAAUAAGACACAAUUGUAGACACCAGCUGAGUCCACAAGCCAUCAGAUUUCAAGACAAGAAUUUCUGCAUAAAUAGAAAUAACAAACAGUUUUGUAAUUACAGACUUUUGCUUGUAUUUUACAUAAAUGUGAAAACUGGAAAUGUGCUUUGAUCUGUCAGAGAUUUGUAAGAGGCGUUUUCAGUUCUCCAGCUCGAGAAGCAGAGGUCACUCUGACAAGCCUGGUAACCAGAAAACUGUAAAGAGUGCUUCUUGCAUCCUCCUCCUUUCUAUAUUAAAAAAUAAGGAAAUUACAGUGAGUGAAGCAUGCCAAGUGAAUGAAUACCGAACCUCAAAUUAAGAAAAUCAAUUGUCUGUAAGGUAUUAUUGUUACUAUAAGUGAUUCUGUUAUACUCAAGGUCACCUUUCCAGUUCAUUGGCAAGAAAGAAUUUGAAAUCAUGUGUAUUUUUACUUUAAAGUAUAACUAAAAUUUGGAGGAAGUAUAAAACACUGUGUGUGCAGAGGAAGUCUCAGAUGCUUCUCUUGCUAUUGAAAUAUCAGGUACAUAUUAAUUAUGAGCCUAGGCAGAAGAUGACUCCACAUCAUGGGGCCACCACUCUACCUACGGAGCUAUCCUUGCCCCCAAACUAAAUACCAAAUUUGUUUCUAAUUAUUUUUGCACUUUGGGUGUAAUGUAUACUGUAUACUGUAAUGUAUAAUGCACUUUUGGGAUUAUAAUGGCAACAUUCACUAAAAAUGUCCUCUUAACACCAGCAAACAUGCCACUUGGGGCCACGGUGGCCAGCCCACCUGGGCCCGACUGUGCAAGCCCCUGUCCAAACCCCUGUCCUGAUUCGUAUUUGAGGUGGAAGACAAACGACUGCAGAGUCCCAGUGAGAUGCGUCAAAACAAUGAUUUUAUUGAAACACAUACACGUGGGAAGUCGAGCACGAUCACCCAAAAAGCAUCGAUCUUCCCAGAACAAUAAAUGGGGUGUGAUAUAUAUAACAUAUGAUGACAAGUAAUAUGCGUCACAGCAGAUAAAAAACAUGCAUGUUCCAGUCAUUCCAACCUUGAACAUCUUCUAAAAUAGAACAGUUCCUUCCUCUGUUCCUCCACUAGAUGUUUCCUGUUAUUUUACCUAUUACACUUAUUUGUGGAACUGAACUGUCACGUAUGCAGGUAAAACAACUUCGCAGUUUCAAGCAAAACAAGUCUAGACACUGUGUAUGUGUGUUCAGGCAGCCCAUGUGUCUUAGCCUCAGUGCAUGACCUUACUCUGAGUCAUCUGUUACCAGGCAGAACUCCACUGCAGCCGGUUGCUGAACACACAGGCCUCUAUUCAGUUUCUAAGUUAUGUGCGAUGUAUUGUAAGCAUGUAUGCAAUUCUGUCAUAGCUCGGGUCACCUUAAGUUAUUCCAUAGAUCGGCCAGACCUCGCGCUGCCCGUAGCUUCAGACCACUAAUUAACUUGACCGAGCUUCAACUCUUUAAUUAGCACAAAAAUGCAAUGUGUAUAACAUGAAUACAGUUGCACCUGCAAUGAAAGAUUAUCAUGUGAUUAUGAAAUGCUUUGAUGAAAUGAUAAUGAUAAAUGAUAAGUGAUGCAACAGUAGUAAUACUGAUUAUGAAUAGUAACAGUAAAAUAAUAUUCAUUUUCCACACCCCACAUGUACAUUAUUGCCACCAAGUGGCUCAAAUAAAAGCUGCUUUCAGCUACUUUCUUUUUCACAUGGAGUCACACCACAGUUGAUGUGGCAGAUUCCUUACAUCAGAUGCCCGUCUUCACACAACCCACAAUAGGUUU